AGAGAGAGAGAGAGAGAGAGAGAAAGAGAGAGAGAGAGAGAGAGACAUAUUUGAUAAUUUCGGAUGAAUGCAAUAACGAAUGACUGACCGUUAAAUCAGUACGCAGCGAAAUGAAAUGUGAAUAUGCUAAAAAUGCAUUGCGAAAUAAUGACGGAAUGAAUGCUGGAAUGUCAGUGAAGUCGAUGUAACGGUACCGAUAAUAAUAUAGAAAAAUUAUUAUUGUACAAUCCAUUUAAUAAUUAGGGAAGAGCACUGAA